rnacentral:rRNA from 1 species
CCUACGGGAGGCAGCAGUGGGGAAUAUUGGACAAUGGGCCACAAGCCUGAUCCAGCAAUUCUGUGUGCACGAUGAAGGUCUUCGGAUUGUAAAGUGCUUUCAGUAGGGAAGAAUAAAUGACGGUACCUACAGA